rnacentral:rRNA from 1 species
AUUGAACGCUGGCGGCAGGCUUAACACAUGCAAGUCGAGCGGAGAUGAGGUGCUUGCACCUUAUCUUGGCGGCGGACGGGUGAGUAAUGCUUAGGAAUCUGCCUAUUAGUGGGGGACAACAUUCCGAAAGGAAUGCUAAUACCGCAUACGUCCUACGGGAGAAAGCAGGGGAUCUUCGGACCUUGCGCUAAUAGAUGAGCCUAAGUCGGAUUAGCUAGUUGGUGGGGUAAAGGCCUACCAAGGCGACGAUCUGUAGCGGGUCUGAGAGGAUGAUCCGCCACACUGGGACUGAGACACGGCCCAGACUCCUACGGGAGGCAGCAGUGGGGAAUAUUGGACAAUGGGGGGAACCCUGAUCUAGCCAUGCCGCGUGUGUGAAGAAGGCCUUAUGGUUGUAAAGUACUUUAAGCGAGGAGGAGGCUACUGAGACUAAUACUCUUGGAUAGUGGACGUUACUCGCAGAAUAAGCACCGGCUAACUCUGUGCCAGCCGCCGCGGUAAAAC